rnacentral:rRNA from 1 species
CCUACGGGGUGCUGCAGUGAGGAAUAUUGGUCAAUGGGCGCAAGCCUGAACCCGCCAAGUCGCGUGAGGGAUGACGGUCCUAUGGAUUGUAAACCUCUUUUGUCGGGGAGCAAGGCACGCCACGUGUGGCGGGAAGGAGAGUACCCGAAGAAAAAGCAUCGGCUAACUCCGUGCCAGCAGCCGCGGUAAUACGGAGGAUGCGAGCGUUAUCCGGAUUUAUUGGGUUUAAAGGGUGCGUAGGCGGAAGGUUAAGUCAGCGGUAAAAUGUCGGGGCUCAACACCGGCAUGCCGUUGAAACUGGUCUUCUUGAGUGAGCGAGAAGUAUGCGGAAUGCGUGGUGUAGCGGUGAAAUGCAUAGAUAUCACGCAGAACUCCGAUUGCGAAGGCAGCAUACCGGCGCUCAACUGACGCUGAGGCACGAAAGCGUGGGGAUCGAACAGGAUUAGAUACCCCUGUAGUC